rnacentral:lncRNA from 1 species
GGGAAACUAAGAAUUUUUUAUUUUAUUGUAUUUAAUUUCAUGUUCAAUUUAUAUGAACUUUCUUAUCUUAUUAACGGAUUUAUCAUUUUCUUUCCAACUAUCUUACUUAUUUCAACACUAACAAAAUACCAAAGCAUUCGCCAAACAAAAGUCUUUAACUUUACCUGAGGGACUAAACCAGGUCUGGUGUAUUAUGCAUAUAGGGCUAACUCUAAUCUUAACUUCUAAAGGAUUGACUAAAUCGAAAACUCUGAUACCAAUAAAAUUGUAACACCUUAUACCCAACUCAAUUUAUCGAGCCCAAAUAUAGGAUGCCACCAG